ncrna:unclassified sequences Moco (molybdenum cofactor) riboswitch
CGGCUGACGGUUCUCCGAGCUUGCCUACCUAAGUCAACAGAUAUGGUGGUGUAGCCGUGGCAAUAAGGCCACUGGGGUGAGUAAAGAAAUGCACUCGCCUCCCACACUUGGAAAGGUGAUCAUGUCUCAAUUAC